rnacentral:rRNA from 1 species
UACGUAGGUGACAAGCGUUGUCCGGAUUUACUGGGCGUAAAGAGCGCGCAGGCGGUCGUUCAAGUCGAGUGUGAAAGCCCCCGGCUCAACUGGGGAGGGUCAUUCGAUACUGAUCGACUCGAAGGCAGGAGAGGGAAGUGGAAUUCCCGGUGUAGUGGUGAAAUGCGUAGAUAUCGGGAGGAACACCAGUGGCGAAGGCGACUUCCUGGCCUGUUCUUGACGCUGAGACGCGAAAGCGUGGGGAGCGAACAGG